rnacentral:rRNA from 1 species
UACGGGGGGUGCGAGCGUUGUCCGGAAUCACUGGGCGGAAAGGGCGCGUAGGUGGUUUGAUAAGGGUGUGGUGAAAGCCCGGAGCUCAACUCCGGGUCUGCCGUGCCGACUGUCAAACUCGAGGGCUGUAGAGGCAGACGGAAUUCCGGGUGUAGCGGUGGAAUGCGUAGAGAUCCGGAGGAAGACCGGUGGCGAAGGCGGUCUGCUGGGCAGUUUCUGACACUGAGGCGCGACAGCGUGGGGAGCAAACAGG